UAGGUGGUGGGGACCUCAUUAAGGGUCGUUAGGUGGUGGGAAUCCAAUUAAGGUUCGUUAGGUGGUGGGGGACCCCAAAAGGGUUCGUCAGGUGGUGGGGACCCAAUUAAGGUUCGUUAGGUGGUGGGGACCUAAUUAAGGGUCGUUAGGUGGUGGGGACCCAAUUAAGGUUCGUUAGGUGGUGGGGAACCCAAUUAAGGUUCGUUAGGUGGUGGGGACCUAAUUAAGGGUCAUUAGGUGGUGGGGGACCCCAACAGGGUUCGUCAGGUGGUGGGGACCUAAUUAAGGUUCGUUAGGUGGUGGGGCCCUAAUUAAGGUUCAUUAGGCACUGGGGACCUAAUUAAGGUUCGUUAGGCGGUGGGGACCCAAUUAAGGUUCGUUAGGUGGUGGGGCCCUAAUUAAGAUUCGUUAGGUGGUGGGGGACCCUGGCGGGGUUCGUUAGGUGGUGGGGACCCAAUUAAGGCUCGUUAGGCGGUGGGGGACCCAAU